rnacentral:lncRNA from 1 species
CUGAGUCUACAGUCCAACUAUCAGAACAAGUUUUGGACAAAGAACAAGUAGUGAUACCUAUCAUGUUUACUUGUAUCAUGUCUUUAGUAUCCUUGCUCAACAUUCUUAUAAUCUGAUUAUGCUCUUCUUCUAUUAAUCUGUGAUGUUUUUCCAUCGAUGCUUGGUUCACUUCAUGACUGGAACUGCCAGUUUCAACUUGUCCUGCUAUCAUGGAUGAAAUUUGAGAAGACUUGUUACUAGAAUUGGCAAAGUUGUUACCAGCAGUGUUCUGUUAUCUGAAGUUAGAAGUAUAGUCUUAUUUCUUCUUGUUCUUCCCAUCAUUUUGGUACCUUAUCAGUUUAUAGAAAGUUCCCUUAGUAUGACCUGAGAGAUGACAGUAUUCAUAUUUCUGCCCUUGUAGUUGGUGUUUCCUUGUCCAAACCCAUAAUUUUGAUUCACUUGUAUACAAGAUAAAUGUUGGAUUUAAUCCUCUAUAAGCAUAGCAUAAGCUUGAUUAAGAAUAGGAGUUACUCCUUUAAGCAGUACCUAUAUCCUAGCUUGAUCAUAGGACUCAUUUAGGC